CGGGCUUUCGCACGGCGCGGGACUCGAAUGGAUAAAACUGGAGCAAUACAGAGAAGAUCGGCAUGAUCCCUGGAGGAUAACACGCAAAUUGUUGAAAAAUCCCAAAUUUUU
rnacentral:snRNA from 1 species